UACCUUACAUACGGGAGACAGAAGAAACAGGGCUUCAACACUGAGUAAAUUAAAAAUAAUUCAAGCUAAUUAUUUUCCUUCACACCAUAAAUUUUGAACAGCGUUUUCAUUAUUCUUUGGGUGUUAUAACAUACAUGCUUAAGCAGCCAAGCAAGCAUCUCAACCUUUACUAAUGAUUCCAAGGAAAGGCAACGGUACUUCCUAAGGACAGUCAAAGUACGUGAAAUGUAGAGGGUGAGGGAAGAAAAGGUGGUAGCUUGAGCUUCCAACAUUCAAUCAGGUUUAAUUUAUUUAUUAAUAAAUAAAUUAUUUGUCCUGGUAUAUAAUUCUAUUAUUUUUAUUUUUGUUUGGUUUCUUUUUCAGUUUUAUUUUUGAUUGACAAAUAGUAAUUUACAUAUUUAUGGUAUACAAUGUAAAAUUUCCAUACAUGCAUACAUUGCGUAAUGAUCAAAUCAGAGUAACCAUGAUAUUCACCACCUUAAACAUGUAUUACUUGAUAUGAAUAUUACUAGACUGUGGAUUCUGGUAAAUUCCAAAUCACAUUAAAUAGCAAUAAAGGGUAUCCACAGGCUCUUCCUUUAUUCAUGGAUAAUUAUUUGUUAGCUGUGGUCAUCAACACUUGGAAUUCUCUGAUUGACU
rnacentral:lncRNA from 1 species